rnacentral:rRNA from 1 species
GAUCAUGGCUCAGGAUGAACGCUGGCGGCGUGCCUAAUACAUGCAAGUCGAGCGGGGUAGCUUGCUACCCAGCGGCGAACGGGUGAGUAACACGUAGGUAACCUGCCUUCGAGUCCGGAAUACCCAGGCGAAAGCUUGGCUAAUGCCGGAUAACAGCGGACCCCGCCCGGGGCCCGCGUGAAAGCCGCCCCAAAGCGGCACUCCUAGAUGGACCUGCGGCGCAUUAGCUAGUUGGCGGGGCAACGGCCC